rnacentral:rRNA from 2 species
CGAAGAAAACUUUGCAAUGUGCGAAAGCACGGGCAAGGUUAACCCGAGUGGUUUCUGCUAAAGGAACCUUUUGUCAGUCCUAGAAACACUGGUGAAUAAGGGGUGGGCAAGUUCUGGUGUCAGCCGCCGCGGUAAAACCAGCACCUCAAGUGGUCAGGAUGAUUAUUGGGCCUAAAGCAUCCGUAGCCUGCUUUGUAGUUUCGGUAAAUCCAUUUGCUCAACGAAUGGGCUGCCGGGAAUACUGCAAAGCUAGGGAGUGGGAGAGGUAGACGGUACUCGGUAGGAAGGGGGUAAAAAUCCUUUGAUCUAUUGAUGACCACCUGUGGCGAAGGCGGUCUACCAGAACACGUCCGACGGUGAGGGAUGAAAGCUGGGGGAGCAAACCGGAUUAGAUACCCGGGUAGUCCCAGCUGUAAACUAUGCAAACUCGGUGAUGCAUUGGCUUGAUGCCAAUGCAGUGCC